AAAACAGAGACAACAGGAGAUCGACCGUACACCGUUCGUUUUUUUCGCCGACUUGGAUUUUAUUGUGUUAUUCUGCAACUGCUCUACUAGUGAUUUAAUCGAAAAUUCGAAAAUGCGAAAAAUAAUAAUAAUAAUAAAUUAAAUAUGCAAAAUUAUGUUAUUAUCAUGAAAAGUACCCAAAGUAUUAUCAGAGAUCUAUGAAGUUCAUGUGUUAUUUAAGGUUUAAAACGCAGAAAAACAGUGUGAAAGAUUUGUGAAAAUUUUCUACAGUUUCGUGAGAGUGUAUGUGUAUGACGAAAAUCAGCAGCAGCAGCACAACAACAACAACAACAUCUAGUUGAAUUGAGUUGUUUUCUCCCCGUACACAAAUACCACACACACAUUGGUGUACACGGAACGCGGUCGGUCAGAGAGUCGUCAUCCGUCAUCUUCUGGACGCAAUAAAAAAAACUAAGCCAAAAGAAAGAAAAUUCAAAAACAAAAAAAAAAAAACGGAAAAUUAAAAAGCAAAAUAAAGAAAAUUCGUGAGGCAAAAGAAGAAACAUUAAUAUCGUUCAAUAGUAAUAGAAAACGAGUAUUUUUCAAACGGCCAGUCCAACGGUCGUUAAACAACAACACACGGCAAAGGUGUCAAAACGGUGUGGAGAGCUGCUCCCUCCCCUCGAUUUUAAGUAUUUGUGUAAUAAUGAACGAGUUUUUUGUCUUGAUUUGUUUGCUGUAUUACCAUUAAAUCGUUCGUAUCGUAUCUUGUCGUCGUGUCGCGCUCGUUGUAUAGGUAAAAAAUUAUAUUAACAUUAAAAAAAAUGUUUGUGUGAUGUGUUGUUCCUGUGUCGUUUUCGGUGUAUGUAAAUGCGUAUGAUGUUGGCUAAUUUCAUUUAACAAUUAUUGUUAUUGUACACAAAAUAGAGAGCAUAUUGUGUUGCUAUUCUCAAAAAAAUAACAGCCAUUUAGUUUAAUAGAAUUGAAAUAAAAACGCUAAACAAAAAAUCGAUUCCAUCUAUACGAAAGGAAAACAACAGAAAUUCAGUGAAGAAAUGUGUGUAUAAUUUUCAUCACCUGCUCCAAAAAUAACAACAACAACAAUAAAACACCUAUGUUUUGUAUAAAAAACAUCUCAAAAGUGAUACACAGUGUUGCAUUUUUCGGUUUUUGGCUGCCCAUCAAACUGGGAUUGUUUGUUGUACAACUUUUAAUAACAACAAUAACAAAAAGAGUAGCAACAGCAGCAAUCAUUAUGGAUUAAACCUUGGAUUGUUAUAUUCGUUCCCUGGCCAAAAGAUAUACACAAAAACAAAAGUUUAACAAACAUCAUCAUUAAAAUUUCGUUAUUUUUGGAUUAUUACAAGUCUAUUUAACUGGCAAUUGUAUUACCAAACUGAUAAGAAGUCGGGAAGAAAGGAAGGAAAAGUAACAAGAACAGCAACAACAACUGGAAAAUAUUUGCAUGUAAAACGCAAAAACCACAAAGCCAGCCAACUUACCAGCCAGCCAGCAAUACAUUGGGCACAGACAACCCAUCCUCAUUUUCUUGAUGCGCAGCAAAAAAAGCAAAGAAUUUGCGCCGUGCCAGAAAACUCUAGAAAAUAUUUGAAUGAAAACAAUCCAAGGGAUAAGUCAAGAAUAAAACGCAGACAGAUCCUGUAAGAGAUUGGGCAAAACAAAAGGAGAAAAAAAUAGCAUCACCAAAAAAACAAGGAUUAAGGACAAAACAGUUUUCCCAGAAAUGUUCCUAAGCUAGAAUCGUAAAAAAUAGUAAGCAAGAAGUAAAACUACAUAAACUGCAACAACAAAUAUUCUGUAAAUGGAAAAAAUCAUCCUGCAUAGCAUACAAUAGACUACACAAUAAACGACAAAAUCACAACAACCACUACCAACCACCAACAAUAGCAACAACUAACUUUAACAUACAAAAAUCUCAAUAAGAAGGAUAUAAAAAUAACAGCAACCACAUGUCCCAUAACAGCCGAAAUACCAACAGUAAAAAUUUCAAAACAACCAAAAAAUCCAGCCAUAGCAGCUCUGACAACGGUGAGAGCUCUAGUAGCAGCAGCAGCAAUAGUACAUACAGCAAUAAUCAAACCUAUUCCGGCAACUACGUCGGUACAUACGAUAGUAAUUUUAGUAACAAUUAUAGCAGCAACUAUAGUGGUGACUAUAGCAUUUACCAAUACACGGACUAUAAUCGAGAGCAGCAACAACAAAAUCACCAGCAACAACAGAGACAAGAACAACGCGACCACUUGCAAGAGUUACAGCAUCAGCAGAGGUAAAAGGUAGCAACUGCAACAGCAACAGCAGCAGUAUAUAACAUAAAUGGCCAUAUCUCUACCCCUUAAACACCCUCUGCAGUAGUAACAACCAUCAUCUAUAAGGAAGACAAAGAAGAAGAGGAAAAACAAAUCCCCAAGAAAAUAGCAACAUUCGAAUCCCCCAAAAACAAGUAGUUGUAGUCAUCAUCACAUCAAACUCUAGCAACUGUAGCAGCCGCCUAGUAGUAGUUGUAAAGAAAAGUUGUUUUCUUAGAUUUCCCACACACAAAUACAAACAAAAGCAGCACCAGCAUUAGCACCACAGCUCCAUCGCCCCACCAACAACAGCCAUAUCAAAGACCACAGCAACAGCAACAGCCACAUGACGAUGAGGGAUAAUACAUAAUAAAGUUGAAAAACCACUUUAGAUUUAAAGGAAAAAACAAACCGAAGCAAAGGAAAUGUAAAAAACAAAAUCCACGACUUCUCAUGAGAGCUUAAAACAAAAUAAAAUAGUAAAACACACACUCCAACCACAUAAAAUCACUCAAUUACAAAUUGAAUGAAAAUAUUUGAAUAAGAAUUUUAGAAGAGCAGCCAAAAUCCUCAGAGAACAGCUCACUGAAUUCAAGAGAGCGCGAUAAAUAACAAAACCUGCUUACAAAAUUCUCCAAGUCAUCUAUCACCAAUAACAACAACAACAACAUUAAACGUAGCACGUGCAGGGUGCCUUAUAACAAAAAUAAGUCGAAAAACAACAGGCCUGCCACUCUUUAAUAAAACAUCAUUGCACAUUAUUGCCACUCUUCUUCAAUGCACAUACAAUAGUAACAACAACAACAGCUACUACUACUAUUGGUUACCACGAAAUUGAGUUUUUUUAGUGGUAGAGGGGAGAAAAGGUGAUAAAAUAAUUACACCAUCAUUUGACGCGCCAAGGUGGUAUUUAAGCAUAAAACAGGCGUCAUUAAGAAACCCCGAGUGCAUGGCAAAAUGCAAAAGGGAUUUUAAGCCAUAAAAGAAAGAGCGAGAGAGCACCCGAACCAAAUAAAAAAAAUAAACAGAGGGUGAGAGAGCAGCAUGUCUUGUUUAGUUGUCACGCAACAUUCACUCACAAUAAAACCCUAAAAUAAACGAAACAUAAUAAAAACAGCUGCCUGCCUUGUUUAAGUCAUAGCCAUAGCACAAACAUUUGGCACAACAGCCUGAGUGUGUAAAUAUAAAUGUGAGUGUGUGGUGUGU